AUGAUUCUAUCUUUUGUCUUACAAUUUCAAUUUCGAAAAAAUUGAAAUAUUUUAAAAGAAAUAUUGUCAAGUAAAUUCAAGGUUUUUAAAAGUAGAAAAUAUA
rnacentral:tRNA from 1 species